UAUUAAAAUGUGAUAUUCUUGUGUUGUAGGUUCGAUACAAAUGUGCUGUGACUCACGAUGCAUUGGGGAAUUCGGUUCCAUGUGUUGUAUUGAAAAGCUGUGGCAAGGUUGUGACGACACAAUGCUUUGAACGUCUUAUCAAGAAGGAUAUGCUUUGUCCAAUUACAGGUCAGAAACUGAAGGACGAUGAUAUCAUUGCUUACAACGGGGAGGUACUGGCUACUCCAGUGUGAAUGAACUGCAAGCGAAGACGUACAAUCCUGUCAUGAUUGCAUAGCAAGGCUACAGUCAUCGAAGGCCUACACGGCAAUCGUCAUACAAUACGUUUGCAACAUAUCACAAGGGAGUAGUCAUACUUAAAGUAUUGAUCAACUUAAAGAACAUAAUCGGUCACGUGAUAUGUUUCUUUACAUGUAAAUGGCUAAUCUGUUCCUUGAGCUUAGCUAACCUGUAAUUUUAGUUUUGUAAAGUCUGAUGUUGCUGCUGUAAUUAUACGUCAUCACAAGAAGUAAACAAAUGUUUGGUCUGUUU